rnacentral:lncRNA from 1 species
CCCACGGCGGAAGGCGUGGUCUAAAGAUCAUGAAAAUAUGGGAAUCAUGCGGAAUUCCAGUUUUAUAAACCGUAAAAUGCUAAAAAAAAUAUAAUUUGGUCAUGGCGGGGCAGUGAUUAUGGUUUCUUAGGACGUAUUUGACAUCCCGAAAAAAAUUUAGGCGAUCCGGAUCCGGGGUCCCAGGCCCACGGCGGAAGGCGUGGGCUAUAGAACACGAAAAUAUGGGAAUCGCGCGGAUUUCCAGUAUUAUGGCCGUAAAAUGCCAAAAAAAGUAAUUUGGUCAUGGCGGAGCGGUGACUAUGGUUUCUCAGGCUGUAUUCGAUGUCCUAGAAAACUUUUAGGCAAUCCGGGUGCGGGGUCUCAGGCCGACGACGGAAGGCGUGGGCUACAACACACGAAAAUUUGGGACUCGCGCGGAUUUCCAGUUUUAUGGCCGUAAAAUGCCAAAAACCGUAAUUUGGUCAUGGUAGGGCAGUGAAUAUGGUUCCUUAGGCCGUAUGCGACGUCCCAAAAAUUUUUUAGGUGAUCCGGGUCCGGGGUCCUGGGCCCACGGCAGAAGGCGUGGGCUAUAGAUCACGAAAAUAUGGGAAUCAUGUGGAAUUCCAGUUUUAUUGCCGUAAAAUGCCAAAAAAAUAUAAUUUGGUCAUGGAGGGACAGUGAUUAUGGUUUCAUAGGCCAUAUUCGGCAUCCUGAAAAAGUUUUAGGCGAUCCGGAUCCAGGGUCCUAGGCCCACGGCGGAAGGCGUGGGCUAUAGCACAUGAAAAUAUGAGAAUCAUGCGGAAUUCUAGUUAAAAACAUAAUUUUGUCAUGGAGGGGCGGUGAAUAUGGUUCCUUAGGUCGUAUUCGACAUCCAAAAAAAAUUAAGGCGAUCCAGAUCCGGUGUCCCAGGCCCACGGCGGAAGGCGUGGGUUAUAGCACAUGAAAAUAUGGGAUUCACGCGGAUUUCCAGUUUUAUGGCCGUAAAAUGCCAAAAAAUGUAAUUUGGUCAUGGAGGG